rnacentral:rRNA from 1 species
GAUGAACGCUGGCGGCGUGCCUAAUACAUGCAAGUCGAGCGAACAGACGAGGAGCUUGCUCCUCUGACGUUAGCGGCGGACGGGUGAGUAACACGUGGAUAACCUACCUAUAAGACUGGGAUAACUUCGGGAAACCGGAGCUAAUACCGGAUAAUAUAUUGAACCGCAUGGUUCAAUAGUUAAAUACGGUUUUUCUGUCACUUAUAGAUGGAUCCGCGCCGCAUUAGCUAGUUGGUAAGGUAACGGCUUACCAAGGCAACGAUGCGUAGCCGACCUGAGAGGGAGAUCGGCCACACUGGAACUGAGACACGGUCCAGACUCCUACGGGAGGCAGCAGUAGGGAAUCUUCCGCAAUGGGCGAAAGCCUGACGGAGCAACGCCGCGUGAGUGAUGAAGGUCUUCGGAUCGUAAAACUCUGUUAUUAGGGAAGAACAAAUGUGUAAGUAACUAUGCACGUCUUGACGGUACCUAAUCAGAAAGCCACGGCUAACUACGUG